rnacentral:rRNA from 1 species
UCGGGGCUGGGUGAGUCGACCCCUAAGGCGAGGCCGAAAGGCGUAGUCGAUGGGAAAAUGGUUAAUAUUCCAUUACUUCUGUGUAAUGCGAUGAGAGGACGGAGAAGGCUAAAUCAGCCUGGCGUUGGUUGUCCAGGUGAAAGGAUGUAGGCAUGUAUCUUAGGCAAAUCCGGGGUACUCUAUGCUGAGAUCUGAUAGCAAGCUGUACUUGUACAGCGAAGUGGUUGAUGCCAUGCUUCCAGGAAAAGUCUCUAAGCUUCAGUUACACAGGAAUCGUACCCGAAACCGACACAGGUGGUCAGGUCGAGUAGACCAAGGCGCUUGAGAGAACUCUGCUGAAGGAACUAGGCAAAAUGGUACCGUAACUUCGGGAGAAGGUACGCUGUUGUUGGUGAUGGAACUCGCUUCCUGAGCUGACGACAGCCGCAGAAACCAGGCCGCUGCAACUGUUUAUUAAAAACAUAGCACUCUGCAAACACGAAAGUGGACGUAUAGGGUGUGAUGCCUGCCCGGUGCUGGAAGGUUAAUUGAUGGGGUUAGCGUAAGCGAAGCUCUUGAUCGAAGCCCCAGUAAACGGCGGCCGUAACUAUAACGGUCCUAAGGUAGCGAAAUUCCUUGUCGGGUAAGUUCCGACCUGCACGAAUGGCAUAAUGAUGGCGGCGCUGUCUCCAGCAGAGGCUCAGUGAAAUCGAAAUCGCUGUGAAGAUGCAGUGUACCCGCGGCUAGACGGAAAGACCCCGUGAACCUUUACUGCAGCUUGACACUGAACUUUGACCUUACUUGUGUAGGAUAGGUGGGAGGCUUUGAAGCUGGAACGCUAGUUCCAGUGGAGCCGUCCUUGAAAUACCACCCUGGUAAUGUUGAGGUUCUAACUCUGUCCCGUGAUCCGGGACGAGGACCGUGUCUGGUGGGUAGUUUGACUGGGGCGGUCUCCUCCUAAAGAGUAACGGAGGAGUACGAAGGUGCGCUCAGCGUGGUCGGAAAUCACGCGUAGAGUAUAAAGGCAAAAGCGCGCUUAACUGCGAGACCCACAAGUCGAGCAGGUACGAAAGUAGGUCUUAGUGAUCCGGUGGUUCUGUAUGGAAGGGCCAUCGCUCAACGGAUAAAAGGUACUCUGGGGAUAACAGGCUGAUACCGCCCAAGAGUUCAUAUCGACGGCGGUGUUUGGCACCUCGAUGUCGGCUCAUCUCAUCCUGGGGCUGAAGCAGGUCCCAAGGGUAUGGCUGUUCGCCAUUUAAAGAGGUACGCGAGCUGGGUUUAGAACGUCGUGAGACAGUUCGGUCCCUAUCUACCGUGGGCGCUGGAAAUUUGAGAGGAUCUGCUCCUAGUACGAGAGGACCAGAGUGGACGAACCUCUGGUGUACCGGUUGUGACGCCAGUCGCAUCGCCGGGUAGCUAUGUUCGGAAGGGAUAACCGCUGAAAGCAUCUAAGCGGGAAGCCUACCUCAAGAUAAGAUUUCCCUAGGACUUUAUGUCCUCUAAAGAGCCGUUCGAGACUAGGACGUUGAUAGGUUGGAUGUGGAAGCAUAGUGAUAUGUGAAGCUGACCAAUACUAAUUGCUCGUGAGGCUUGACUAU